rnacentral:sRNA from 1 species
UUACUUAGGGUCCAGCUGGUUGCUUGAGA